CGGAAAGCCUGACGCAGCGACGCCGCGUGCGGGAGAAGGCCUUCGGGUUGUAAACCGCUUUCAGGAGGGACGAAGCCACUCGGGUUAAUACCCCAGAGGGUGACGGUACCUCCAGAAGAAGCCCCGGCUAACUACGUGCCAGCAGCCGCGGUAAUACGUAGGGGGCAAGCGUUGUCCGGAUUUAUUGGGCGUAAAGCGCGUGUAGGCGGCCAGGUAGGUCCGGUGUGAAAACUCGAGGCUUAACCUCGAGAUGUCAUCGGAAACUAUUUGGCUAGAGUCCGGAAGAGGAGAGUGGAAUUCCUGGUGUAGCGGUGAAAUGCGCAGAUAUCAGGAAGAACACCUAUGGCGAAAGCAGCUCUCUGGGACGGUACUGACGCUGAGACGCGAAAGCGUGGGGAGCGAACAGGAUUAGAUACCCUGGUAGUCCACGCCGUAAACGAUGGGUGCUAGGUGUGGGCGGUGUCGACUCCGUCCGUGCCGAAGCUAACGCAUUAAGCACCCCGCCUGGGGAGUACGGCCGCAAGGCUA
rnacentral:rRNA from 1 species